GGAUAGCAAAGUUGGUUAGAGCAUGGUGCUGAUAACGCCAAGAUUGCAGGUUCGAUUCCCAUGAGGGACA
rnacentral:tRNA from 1 species